rnacentral:rRNA from 1 species
CAGAGGCUAUUGCUAUMMRGKUUUGACUWAGCCAUGCGAGUCGAGAGGUGAAAGACCUCGGCAUACUGCUCAGUAACACGUGGAUAAUCUGCCCUCAGGUGAGGAAUAAUCCCGGGAAACUGGGGCUAAUGCCUCAUAGGAGACGGGUGCUGGAAUGCUCUGUCUCCGAAAGGUCCGCCGCCUGAGGAUGAGUCUGCGUCCGAUUAGGUUGUUGUUGGGGUAACGGCCCAACAAGCCUUUGAUCGGUACGGGUUGUGGGAGCAAGAGCCCGGAGAUGGAUUCUGAGACAUGAAUCCAGGCCCUACGGGGCGCAGCAGGCGCGAAAACUUUACAAUGCGAGCAAUCGUGAUAAGGAAACCCUGAGUGCCUGUCAAUGCAGGCUGUUCUGGUGUCUAACACACACCAGGAGAAAGGGCGGGGCAAGACCGGUGCCAGCCGCCGCGGUAAUACCGGCUGCUCGAGUGAUAGCCACUUUUACUGGGCUUAAAGCGUUCGUAGCUUGGUCGUUAAGUCUCUGGGGAAAUCUUUUGGCUCAACCAAAAGGCGUCUCAGGGAAACUGACGAUCUUGGAACCGGGAGAGGUAAGACGUACUUCGGGGGUAGGAGUGAAAUCUUGUAAUCCCCGAGGGACGACCGAUGGCGAAGGCAUCUUACCAGAACGGCUUCGACAGUGAGGGACGAAAGCUGGGGGAGCAAACCGGAUUAGAUACCCGGGUAGUCCCAGCCGUAAACGAUGUGCGUUAGGUGUGUCAGUGACCACGAGUCGCUGAGGUGCCGAAAGGGAAACCGUGAAACGCACCGCCUGGGAAGUACGGUCGCAAGGCUGAAACUUAAAGGAAUUGGCGGGGGAGCACCAACARCSGGUGGAGCCUGCGGUUUAAUUGG